UGUUUCCUACGGGGCGCAGCAGUGGGGAAUAUUGCACAAUGGGGGAAACCCUGAUGCAGCGACGCCGCGUGAGUGAAGAAGUAUUUCGGUAUGUAAAGCUCUAUCAGCAGGGAAGAAAUAGCGACCUUUGGGUCGCCAGAUGGUACCUGACUAAGAAGCCCCGGCUAACUACGUGCCAGCAGCCGCGGUAAUACGUAGGGGGCAAGCGUUAUCCGGAUUUACUGGGUGUAAAGGGAGCGUAGACGGCAGCACAAGUCUGAAGUGAAAUGCCGGGGCUUAACCCCGGAACUGCUUUGGAAACUGGG
rnacentral:rRNA from 1 species